GUAGAGUCCGUUCGAACUGAUGUACCUGUAUCGCACGAUUAACCUGCACAGAUGCAUCAGACAAUACUUUUGCGAGGACAGGAUCCCCUCCUGUCGAUCCAGAGAUGCACAGUGUGCUGCCAAAAAUACCACUGUACCUACUGUAAAUCGGUUUACAACCAUUUACAUGAGCUCCGAAAUCAUGUAGCUAAUCACAUGCGAAAUGCAGUUCAAGAAGAAGAUUUUAUCAUCAUCAAGUGUGGUCUAAAGUGCAGGCAAUCACCACAUUUUCACUGCUGUUACUGUACAUCAACAGUAAUUAGACGUGACAGUCUUAUUACACAUUUUAAAAUGUGUAAAAAUUUAG